rnacentral:rRNA from 1 species
AUUGAACGCUGGCGGCAGGCCUAACACAUGCAAGUCGAACGGUAACAGGAAGCAGCUUGCUGCUUCGCUGACGAGUGGCGGACGGGUGAGUAAUGUCUGGGAAACUGCCUGAUGGAGGGGGAUAACUACUGGAAACGGUAGCUAAUACCGCAUAACGUCGCAAGACCAAAGAGGGGGACCUUAGGGCCUCUUGCCAUCGGAUGUGCCCAGAUGGGAUUAGCUAGUAGGUGGGGUAACGGUUCACCUAGGCCACGAUCCCUAGCUGGUCUGAGAGGAUGACCAGCCACACUGGAACUGAGACACGGUCCAGACUCCUACGGGAGGCAGCAGUGGGGAAUAUUGCACAAUGGGCGCAAGCCUGAUGCAGCCAUGCCGCGUGUAUGAAGAAGGCCUUCGGGUUGUAAAGUACUUUCAGCGGGGAGGAAGGGAGUAAAGUUAAUACCUUUGCUCAUUGACGUUACCCGCAGAAGAAGCACCGGCUAACUCCGUG